GCUCAGGGUACUGCUCUGCAUGCAGCAUAGCUCUGGGCAAUUUAGCAAAGGAAUAGAGGUCAGCUCUUCUACCCUGGAUUGCACGGCAAUGAAGUUCAUGUUACAGCCAAAUUCCAGGUGCACAGAAACUCUAUUGUCUCCAGGAGACGUUGUCCAUUCCAUCUCCUUGAAAGCCAAAAGACUACAUCUGAAAGUAUUUCAUCUUCAAAAGAAUCUGCCUCCCACAAGAAUACGUCUGUUUGGCUGCUAUGAAAAGAUGCUGCACCAACAAAGGCUUCCUCUGUGCAUGAUCUCCAUGGUGUGUGAUCUUUACAUGGAAAUGCUGCUCCUUGUGCUGCUCACGGGUCCUUUCCAAGUCCUGUGGAGCACAAAGGCUGGAGGUGGCUGCUGCAGUGAACAGGAGCGUAGGAAACCUGAUUUUCUCUGAGCCAAUGCAGACAGGCUUGUCCUUCUUCCUGGAUUCCCUUACAGCAUCACUUGCUUGAAACCUUUAAUGCUUUGCCCUCCCUCCCUUGCCAGCCAGCUACCCAUGUGCAGCUGUUGUGUUCAUCACAGGCACAGGCUCUGCAUCUUCUCUUGGCUCAGAGGAUG
ensembl:lncRNA